UUGCUUUCAUGUAAAAGCACCUACACCCAGGCCCCCCCCACCCACGAACAGCUUCGUGGACAGUUUACUCAGACUGAGUCGAAGAUGGAGAAACUGAGCCCGAGAGAGAGAAGAGGAGUCAGCUGAGCCUCCCCCAGAUAAGACAAUCGCCAAAUAUUCUGGGACCUUGCUGGGGGCAGACAGCCCUCCCUGCCCAGCAAUGGGCCUUUGGGAUGUGGCACAAGCUCCCGGGAAACCAGGAGUGACAAGGGCGCCUGUCCCUGAGGAGUGGAGAGCGCGGAGUUGGUGCUGAGUCAGCCCUGAUGUGGCAGAGGAGGAGCAGGCCCCCGCAGAACCAGGGCUCUUCAGUGUCUCCAGGUCCUUGGUGAAGUGGAACUGGACCAGGCGCGAGUUCCGGAACAGCGGCACUAGGGAAACGUCAUCUCCACCGCUCAACCAGCCCAACCCUGGAGUGCUGUGGAAGCCGCUCUCAGAUCCCUUGGCAGCCCCCCAGGGGAUGAGGCCCAUGAAGAUCUUCUUCUUGGACGAGUACAGGAGCAUGAGCACGCGCACCUCACAGGGGGAGAUGUGGGGGAACAGCAUGCAGCCCGCCUGCGGGGGCCGCGGGUCAGGACCCUGUGGUCACUGCCCGGGGCCACUGUGCCCCCACCACCCUGGACCGCCCCACCUGUAGGGGAUGAAGGGAGAUCAUCGGUGGACAGAGGCCCCCACAGUCAAGGCCAUGGCCAUAGGUGAGGGGCCUCUGAGAGCCCGUGCAGCGCCCAUCGGCAUCCCCCGACCCUGCCAUGGCUGAGGUCAGAGUGGCACCCGGCACCCAGGCUGCGGUGAGAAUGCCAAGAAGGCACUACCUCCCACCCACAUCACCCCCUGCCGCCAGCCCUCCUGACUGCCUGAUGGGGUGACUUGGCCUGGGGGUUAAGAGCACAGGCAGCGCCCCACCGUUCUGCUGCCUCCUAGCUGUGUGACCUAACACCAGCCACCUCCUGCUUCUGGGCCUCCAUCAUCUGUAAAACCGGGUAAUAGUGCACACAGUUGGUGCCACAUAAAGGCUCAACAGAUAAAGUGCUGGUGCCUCUUGAGGAUGGCGCAUGGGAGAACUAA
rnacentral:lncRNA from 10 species